UUCGUCAGGCACGAAACAAUAUUUUCGCGUAUUGACCCCCCCUCACCCCCCAUGAAACCCUCACUUUCCCCAUUACUCAUCUCCCUCUUCCGUGAGCGGCGGCGACAGCGGCGGCGGCGCAUCUAGCAGAGAGGCCGGCGAGAGGUGAAUCCUCUACUCUUUCCCUCUCUCCUCCUUUCCUUCUAUCUCCCCACCUCCAUCAAUCAUGUGUGCCGGUUGGUCGUUGCGGAGGGCGUGCACGGAGGCGACGCUGGCUAGAUUUGAGGCGGCGGCGCGAGAUCUGAACGAGUACGGCGGCUGGGGGCUUGAGGAGGCGCGAGCGGCACCAGGAGGCCACCCAUGCCCACCGUGGGGAGCCUGGCCAUGGGAGGAGCUCGCCACCAGGGCCUGCAGGUGGAGGUGGAGAAGGAUUCUCCGACGAGCGGCGCAAGUGCACACGGGAGCUUCUCCACGGCGAGCGCAAGUGCAUCCGGUGCCGCGCUCGGCUGCAUGUGCACGGCUGAAUCCGCUCGGCUGCAUCGGCGUGUGUGUGUUCUGAAGUUUACUGUUGCAGACUGAUGCAUAAUGUUUAUGAGUGUGUGUGCUAGAGUCUGCUCAUGUGUGUGUGUACAAGACUGAUCUAUACUAUUUGUAUUUUUUUGUGGGAACUGAUUGUAUAUUAUCUACUAUUGCAGGAUAUUUCAAGGUCACCGUGAGCACUUCCAGCACAAUCCUUCAAUUGAGGUAACACAUACACCCCAUUGUCUAACCCCCUGUUUCUUUUUCUGAAAUGUUUGACAGUAGAAAAGAAUGUUGAUUUACCUCUGAAUAAUUGGCUUCUUAUAGACAGAUUGUUUGCUAUUGAAUUAUUCUUGUUAACAUGUUAAAGUAUCAUUUGUAAUUGCAUUGUAGAUGGACGGAAAAAUAAAGAUGUUAAUUUAUGGAGUGAAUUCCAGUUUUUACCUCUAAGUUUGACAUUUUUGACGCUAAUUACCCCAUUUAAGAGAAUUUCAUCCGGCAUACACCAUUUAACAAAAGUGUUGUCAGGGUUUACCCACUUCUAUUUUUUGUGAGCAUUCUGAUUCAUGGGUCACGAUUGCAAAGUCCACGUGCCAUGCCACAUUGUCGGUUUUUCUGGGUUUUUUCCUCGUGUGAAACCAGUCCACGCCGUUGAGCCCGACCGGAUCGCUGAACCGCACGCACCGUCAGUCAUGGCGAUCGACGCUCGACCCAGACCGCACCGCGUUCGCGUCUAGCCUAGCGCACGCACCGGUCGCCCGGCUUCUUACUGCACGCACCGCUCUCGCUCACGCCUAGGGUUAGGGAUUCGCUUACGACGGCGACGGCGUGUGCUGAAGGGAAAUGAUGGCAGCUGCAGGUGCUGAAUGACAUCGACGGCAACUGCGGGUGCUGAAUGGCGGCAACGGAGACGGCGGGUGCCUAAGGGCCGCGACGGUGGCAGCGGUGCUGAAGGGUCGUGACGGUGGCGGAGGGUGUUGAAGGGCGGCGAUGACAACGGCGUGCGGCUGCCGUGCCUCGAGCGUGUAGUCCCAUGCUGGCGCGUUAUCCCGCCCCGCCCGUCACUGUCAGCAAGUUCAGGUAUUUCUUUCUUCCUCUGAAUUGUUUCUCCAUGGAACUAGACUCCCUGUGCAUACAUCGUUAGCCUACUGUAUGUGUGAAUAGUUCUCGCUUGAUGCAGGGUGCAGUUAACUCCUCUAGUGAUACUGUGAUGGUUGGUUUGAUGAUGCUCCGGUGAUCCAUGGGCAAAGUCCAGGGUUUACCCUCUCCUCUAGUGAUCCAUGCGUGGCGCAACAGACUCCAGCGAGAUAUGCGUGGCGCGAUUGGAUGGGAUCGUGGUGAAUCAUACUCAAGCGACCUGUAAAUCGGUGAGGACAUGCGUCUGCGUGUGCUUGCCAUCGGCCCGGUCCGGUCGGCAGAAGCUGGCGAAUCGGUUCACUCUGUAGAAAAGUCGCCAAGGAAAAAAACCGACGACGUGGCACGCCACGUGGACCUGGUAAUCGGGGCCCAUAGAUCAGAACACUCACAAAAAAUAGAAGAGGGUAAUUUGUGGCAACACUUUUGUUAAAUGGGGUAUGUCGGAUAAAAUUCUCUUAAAUAGGGUAAUUAGCGUCAAAAAUGUUAAACUUAGGGGUAAAAACUGGAAUUCACUCUAAUUUAUGCGGCUGCGGCACAAUGGUUUAUCAACAUGAUAACAUUGGUUGUUCAAUCCAGAAAAAGAAAAAGAAGAGAAGCAAUUACGUAUGCCCCAAUUGAUGAGAGAGAUAGGAUGAGAAGAGAGUAUUUUGACAACAAAAUAUGGAAGAAUGACACAACUUGUGUGAACAUGCUUAGGCUUCGGAGAGAAUCUUUCUUUAGGUUUUGUCAACUGUUUAGGAAUCGCAACUUGCUAAAUGACACAAUACACUUGACUGUUGAGCAACAACUAGCAAUGUUUCUGCACACUGUUGGGCACAACAUUAGAAAUAGGGUAAUUGGCGCCAAUUUUGGUAGAUCCGGUGAAGUUGUGAGCCGUUACUUCAAAAGGGUAUUCCAUGCCAUUGGUGAGCUUCGAGAUGACCUUAUUAGGAAGUCUUCAUUGGAGACCCAAACCAAAAUAGAAGGAAACUACCGGUGGGAUCCAUACUUUAAGGUAUGUGAGACGGAGUGACAACUAUAUUUUGUCAUUGUAGGCAUGAAUUUGUUUAGAUCCUAAUUUUUGGGUUUUGUUUUCACCAAAUAGGAUUGUAUUGGAGCUAUUGAUGGCACACAUGUGUGAGCCUCCGUUACACCAGAUAUGGAGGCUGCCUUUCAUGGUAGAAAGACUUAUGCUACUCAAAAUGUGAUGGCGGCUGUAGAUUUUGACCUUCGAUUCACAUAUGUUUUGGCCGGUUGGGAGGGGACAUCACAUGAUGCUCUAGUUUUACGUGAUGCUUUAGAACGUGAGAAUGGUCUAUGUGUCCCACAAGGUAAUAGAUGAACUAUAUACAUCUGUAUUGUCAAUGGGGUAUUUAUAUAUAUAACCAAGUAACCUGAAUGUCCCUCGUUUAGGAAAAUUUUAUCUAGUUGAUGUUGGAUAUGGAGCCAAACCGGGUUUUUUGCCUCCUUUUCGUGGUGUGAGGUAUCACUUGAAUGAGUGGGGAAACAACCCCGUGCAAUACGAGAAGGAGCUAUUCAACCUUAGGCAUUCUUCUCUUCAUGUGACCGUAGAACGUGCAUUUGGCUCAUUGAAGAGAAGAUUCAAGAUACUUGAUGAUGCCACCCCAUUCUUUCUAUUUCCAACACAAGUUGACAUUGUUGUGGCUUGUUGCAUUAUUCACAAUUGGGUUAUAAAUGAUGGGAUAGAUGAAUAUAUCAUACCCGAGGAUGAAUGGGUGCCAAAUAUUACUCAUGCUUCGUCAUCAAGUGGUCAAGCACAUGAACAUGCAUACAUGGCUAGUUUUAGGCAAGGACUUGCUGAUCAAAUAUGGGAAGACCGACAAAACCAUUUGCAAGGUCAAAAUAUGUAGUAACUACUAUGUCAUUUAGGUCGUUGUGAUGAAUUAUUGUACUUUGUUGAACUAUUCUAUGUGCUGGAACUUAUUUGUAAGGACAUAUUAUUUGUUGAAAUUACUAUUUGUAAUGACUAUUAUUUGCUGAAUUAUUGUACUUUGUUACUAUUUGUAAUUACUAUUUAAGUUACUUUCUCAAUGUCCAAACCCGUGCAAAUUGUGAGGGUAAUCUCACCACCUCAAGUAAAAAAGAUUACCACAACCCUUAUCCUUCAUUCAUCCCUCGAACCAAACACUCUGAUGGCUAUCCUCAACCACGUUUCAUCCUCUGAACCAAACAAAACAUGGGAUAACCCUGUUGGGUUUCGUAAUAAUUUCAAAAAAAUUCCUACACACACGCAAGAUCAUGGUGAUGUAUAGCAACGAUAGGGGGAGAUUGUGAUCUACGUACCCUUGUAGAUCGACAACGGAAGCGUUAACUUGGUUGAUGUAGUCGUACGUCUCCACGGCCCGACCGAUCAAGCACCGAAACUACGGCACCUCCAAGUUCUAGCACACGUUCAGCUCGAUGACAAUCCCCGGACUCUGAUCCAGCAAAGUGUCGGGGAAGAGUUCCGUCAGCACGACGGCGUGGUGACGAUCUUGAUGUUCUACUGUUGCAGGGCUUCGCCUAAGCGCCGCUACAAUAUUAUCGAGGACUAUGGUGGAAGGGGGCACCGCACACGGCUAAGAAUAUGAUCACGUGGAUCAACUUGUGUGUCAAGGGGUGCCCCCUGCCCCCGUAUAUAAAGGAUCAAGGGGAGGAGGCCGGCCGGCCUCUAUGGCGCGCCAAGGAGGAGUCCUCCUCCUAGUAGGAGUAGGACUCCUACUAGGAGGGGGAAAGAAGUGGGGAGGGAGAGGGAAAGGGGGGCGCCGCCCCCCUCUCCUAGUCCAAUUCGGACCAGGAGGGAGGAGGCGCGCGGCCCACCUUUGGCUGCCCCUCUCUUACUCCACUAAGGCCCAUAUGGCCCAUUACUUCUCUCAGGGGGGUUCCGAUAACCCUUCGGCUCUCCGGUUUUCUCCGAAAUCACCCGGAACACUUCCGGUGUCCGAUUAUAGCCGUCCAAUAUAUCAAUCUUUAUGUCUCGACCAUUUCGAGACUCCUCGUCAUGUCCGUGAUCACAUCCGGGACUCCGAACUAACUUCGGUACAUCAAAACUCAUAAACUCAUAAUAUAACUGUCAUCGAAACCUUAAGCGUGCAGACCCUACGGGUUCGAGAACAAUGUAGACAUGACCGAGACACGUCUCCGGUCAAUAACCAAUAGCGGAACCUGGAUGCUCAUAUUGGCUCCUACAUAUUCUACGAAGAUGUCAGACCGCAUAACAACAUACGUUGUUCCCUUUGUCAUUGGUAUGUUACUUGCCCGAGAUUCGAUCGUCGGUAUCCCAUACCUAGUUCAAUCUCGUUACCGGCAAGUCUCUUUACUCGUUCCGUAAUACAUCAUCUCACAACUAACUCAUUAGUUGCAAUGCUUGCAAGGCUUAUGUGAUGUGUAUUACCGAGAGGGCCCUAGAGAUACCUCUCCGACAAUCGGAGUGACAAAUCCUCAUCUCGAAAUACGCCAACCCAACAUGUACCUUUGGAUACACCUGUAGAGCACCUUUAUAAGCACCCAUUUACGUUGUGACGUUUGGUAGCACACAAAGUGUUCCUCCGGCAAACGGGAGUUGCAUAAUCUCAUAGUCAUAGGAACAUGUAUAAGUCAUGAAGAAAGCAAUAGCAACAUACUAAACGAUCGGGUGCUAAGCUAAUGGAAUGGGUCAUGUCAAUCAGAUCAUUCAUCUAAUGAUGUGAUCCCGUUAAUCAAAUAACAACUCUUUGUUCAUGGUUAGGAAACAUAACCAUCUUUGAUCAACGAGCUAGUCAAGUAGAGGCAUACUAGUGACACUCUGUUUGUCUAUGUAUUCACACAUGUAUUAUGUUUCCGGUUAAUACAAUUCUAGCAUGAAUAAUAAACAUUUAUCAUGAUAUAAGGAAAUAAAUAAUAACUUUAUUAUUGCCUCUAGGGCAUAUUUCCUUCAGUCUCCCACUUGCACUAGAGUCAAUAAUCUAGAUUACACAGUAAUGAUUCUAACACCCAUGGAGCCUUGGUGCUGAUCAUGUUUUGCUCAUGGAAGAGGCUUAGUCAACGGGUCUGCAACAUUCAGAUCCGUAUGUAUCUUGCAAAUCUCUAUGUCUCCCAUCUGGACUAGACCCGGAUGGAAUUGAAGCGUCUCUUGAUGUGCUUGGUUUUCUUGUGAAAUCUGGAUUCCUUUGCCAAGGCAAUUGCAUCAGUAUUGUCACAAAAGAUUUUCAUUGGACCCGAUGCACUAGGUAUGACACCUAGAUCGGAUAUGAACUCCUUCAUCCAGACUCCUUUAUUUGCUGCUUUCGAAGCAGCUAUAUACUCCGCUUCACAUGUAGAUCCCGCUACAACGCUUUGUUUAGAACUGCACCAACUGACAGCUCCACCGUUUAAUGUAAACACGUAUCCGGUUUGUGAUUUAGAAUCGCCCGGAUCAGUGUCAAAGCUUGCAUCAACGUAACCUUUUACGAUGAGCUCUUUGUCACCUCCAUAUAUGAGAAACAUAUCCUUAGUCCUUUUCAGGUAUUUCAGGAUGUUCUUGACCGUUGUCCAGUGAUCCACUCCUGGAUCACUUUGGUACCUCCGUGCUAGACUUAUAGCAAGGCACACAUCAGGUCUGGUACACAACAUUGCAUACAUGAUAGAGCCUAUGGCUGAAGCAUAGGGAACAUCUUUCAUUUUCUCUCUAUCUUCUGCAGUGGUCGGGAAUUGAGUCUUACUCAACUUCACACCUUGUAACACAGGCAAGAACCCUUUCUUUGCUUGAUCCAUUUUGAACUUCUUCAAAACUUUGUCAAGGUAUGUUCUUUGUGAAAGCCCAAUUAAGCGUCUUGAUCUAUCUCUAUAGAUCUUAAUGCCUAAUAUGUAAGCAGCUUCACCGAGGUCUUUCAUUGAAAAACUCUUAUUCAACUAUCCCUUUAUGCUAUCCAGAAAUUCUAUAUCAUUUCCAGUUAGUAAUAUGUCAUCCACAUAUAAUAUCAGAAAUGCUACAGAGCUCCCACUCACUUUCUUGUAAAUACAGGCUUCUCCAAAAGUCUGUAUAAAACCAAAUGCUUUGAUCACACUAUCAAAGCGUUUAUUCUAACUCCGAGAGGCUUGCACCAGUCCAUAAAUGGAUCACUGGAGCUUGCACACUUUGUUAGCUCCCUUUGGAUCGACAAAACCUUCUGGUUGUAUCAUAUACAACUCUUUUUCCAGAAAUCCAUUCAAAAAUGUAGUUUUGACAUCCAUCUGCCAAAUUUCAUAAUCAUAAAAUGCGGCAAUUGCUAACAUGAUUCGGACAGACUUAAGCAUCGCUACGGGUGAGAAGGUCUCAUCGUAGUCAAUCCCUUGAACUUGUCGAAAACCUUUUGCGACAAGUCGAGCUUUGUAGACAGUAAUAUUACCGUCAGCGUCAGUCUUCUUCUUGAAGAUCCAUUUAUUCUCAAUUGCUUGCCGAUCAUCGGGCAAGUCAACCAAAGUCCAUACUUUGUUCUCAUACAUGGAUCCCAUCUCAUAUUUCAUGGCUUCAAGCCAUUUUGCGGAAUCUGGGCUCAUCAUCGCUUCUUCAUAGUUCGUAGGUUCAUCAUGAUCUAGUAGCAUGACUUCCAGAACAGGAUUACCAUACCACUCUGGCGCGGAUCUCACUCUGGUUGAUCUACGAGGUUCAGUAGUAUCUUGUCCUGAAGUUUCAUGAUCAUCAUCAUUAACUUCCUCACUAAUUGGUGUAGGUGUCACAAAAACAGUUUUCUGUGAUUCACUAUUUCCAAUAAGGGAGCAGGUACAGUUACCUCGUCAAGUUCUACUUUCCUCCCACUCACUUCUUUCGAGAGAAACUCCUUCAGAAAGUUUCCGAACUUAGCAACAAAAGUCUUGCCUUCGGAUCUGUGAUAGAAGGUGUAUCCAAUAGUCUCCAUUGGAUAUCCUAUGAAGACACAUUUCUCCGAUUUGGGUUCGAGCUUUUGAAGCUUUUUCACAUAAGCAUCGCAGCCCCAAACUUUCAGAAACAACAACUUUGGUUUCUUGCCAAACCAUAGUUCAUAAGGCGUCAUCUCAACGGAUUUUGAUGGUGCCCUAUUUAACGUGAAUGCGGCCGUCUCAAAAGCAUAACCCCAAAACGAUAGCGGUAAAUCAGUAAGAGACAUCAUAGAUCGCUCCAUAUCUAGUAAAGUACGAUUACGACGUUCGGACACACCAUUACGUUGUGGUGUUCCGGGUGGCGUGAGUUGUGAAACUAUUCCGCAUUUUUUCAAAUGUACACCAAACUCGUAACUCAAAUAUUCUCCCCCACGAUCAGAUCGUAGAAACUUUAUUUUCUUGUUACGACGAUUUUCAACUUCACUCUGAAAUUCUUUGAACUUUUCAAACGUUUCAGACUUAUGUUUCAUUAAGUAGAUAUACCAAUAUCUGCUUAAGUCAUCUGUGAAGGUGAGAAAAUAACGAUAUCCGCCACGAGCCUCAAUAUUCAUCGGACCACAUACAUCUGUAUGUAUGAUUUCCAAUAAAUCUGUUGCUCUCUCCAUAGUACCGGAGAACGGCGUUUUAGUCAUCUUGCCCAUGAGGCACAGUUCGCAAGUACCAAGUGAUUCAUAAUCAAGUGGUUCCAAAAGUCCAUCAGUAUGGAGUUUCUUCAUGCGUUUUACACCGAUAUGACCUAAACGGCAGUGCCACAAAUAAGUUGCACUAUCAUUAUCAACUCUGCAUCUUUUGGCUUCAACAUUAUGAAUAUGUGUGUUACUACUAUCGAGAUUCAAUAAAAAUAGACCACUCUUCAAGGGUGCAUGACCAUAAAAGAUAUUACUCAUAUAAAUUGAACAACCAUUAUUCUCUGAUUUAAAUGAAUAACCGUCUCGCAUCAAACAAGAUCCAGAUAUAAUGUUCAUGCUUAACGCUGGCACCAAAUAACAACUAUUUAGGUCUAAUAUUAAUCCCGAAGGUAGAUGUAGAGGUAGCGUGCCGACCGCGAUCACAUCGACUUUGGAACCGUUUCCCACACACAUCGUCACCUCGUCCUUAGCCAAUCUUCGCUUAAUCCGUAGUCCAUGUUUCGAGUUGCAAAUAUUAGCAACAGAACCGGUAUCAAAUACCCAGGUGCUAUUGCGAGCAUUAGUAAGGUACACAUCAAUAACAUGUAUAUCACAUAUACCUUUGUUCACCUUGCCAUCCUUCUUAUCCGCCAAAUAUUUGGGGCAGUUCCGCUUCCAGUGACCAGUCUGCUUGCAGUAGUAGCACUCAGUUUUAGGCUUAGGUCCAGGUUUGGGCUUCUUCUCUUGAGUAGCAACUUGCUUGCUAUUCUUUUUGAAGUUUCCCUUCUUCUUCCCUUUGCCCUUUUUGUUGAAACUAGUGGUCUUGUUGACCAUCAACACUUGAUGCUCCUUCUUGAUUUCUACCUCCGCAGCUUUCAGCAUUGCGAAGAGCUCGGGGAUAGUCAUAUUCAUCCCUCGCAUAUUAUAGUUCAUCACGAAGCUCUUAUAGCUUGGUGGCAGUGAUUGGAGAAUUCUGUCAAUGACGCAAUCAUCUGGAAGAUUAACUCCAAUUGAAUCAAGUGAUUAUUAUACACAGACAUUUUAAGUAUAUGCUCACUGACAGAACUGUUCUCCUCCAUCUUGCAGCUAUAGAACUUAUUGGAGACUUCAUAUCUCUCAAUCCGGGCAUUUGCUUGAAAUAUUAACUUCAACUCCUAGAACAUCUCAUAUGCUCCAUGACGUUCAAAACGUCGUUGAAGUCCCGAUUCUAAGCCGUAAAGCAUGGCACACUGAACUAUCGAGUAGUCAUCAGCUUUGCUCUGCCAGACGUUCAUAACAUCUGGUGUUGCUCCAGCAGCAGGCCUGGCACCCAACGGUGCUUUCAGGACGUAAUUCUUCUGUGCAGCAAUGAGGAUAAUCCUCAAGUUACGGACCCAGUCCGUGUAAUUGCUACCAUCAUCUUUCAACUUUGCUUUCUCAAGGAACGCAUUAAAAUUCAACGGAACAACAACAUGAGCCAUCUAUCUACAAUCAAGCAUAAACAAGCAAGAUACUAUCAGGUACUAAGUUUCAUGAUAAAUUUAGGUUCAAAUAAUUUACUUAAAGAACUCCCACUUAGAUAGACAUCCCUCUAAUCCUCUAAGUGAUUACGUGAUCCAAAUCAACUAAACCAUGUCCGAUCAUCACGUGAGAUGGAGUAGUUUCAUUGGUGAACAUCACUAUGUUGAUCAUAUCUUCUAUAUGAUUCACGCUCGACAUUUCGGUCUCCGUGUUCCGAGGCCAUAUCUGUAUAUGCUUGGCUCGUCAAGUAUAACCUGAGUAUUCCGCGUGUGCAACUAUUUUGCACCCGUUGUAUUUGAACGUAGAGCCUAUCACACCCGAUCAUCACGUGGUGUCCCAGCACGAAGAACUUUCGCAACGGUGCAUACUCAGGGAGAACACUUCUUGAUAAUUAGUGAGAGAUCAUCUUAUAAUGCUACCGUCAAUCAAAGCAAGAUAAGAUGCAUAAAAGAUAAACAUCACAUGCAAUCAAUAUAAGUGAUAUGAUGUGGCCAUCAUCAUCUUGUGCUUGUGAUCUCCAUCUUCGAAGCACCGUCGUGAUCACCAUCGUCACCGGCGCGACACCUUGAUCUCCAUCGUAGCAUCGUUGUCAUCUCGCCAAUCUUAUGCUUCCACGACUAUCGCUAGCGCUUAGUGAUAAAGUAAAGCAUUACAGCGCGAUUGCAUUGCAUACAAUAAAGCGACAACCAUAUGGCUCCUGCCAGUUGCCGAUAACUCGGUUACAAAACAUGAUCAUCUCAUACAAUAAAAUUUAGCAUCAUGUCUUGACCAUAUCACAUCACAACAUGCCCUGCAAAAACAAGUUAUACGUCCUCUACUUUGUUGUUGCAAGUUUUACGUGGCUGCUACGGGCUAAAGCAAGAACCAAUCUUACCUACGCAUCAAAACCACAACGAUAGUUUGUCAAGUUGGUGCUGUUUUAACCUUCGCAAGGACCGGGCGUAGCCACACUCGGUUCAACUAAAGUUGGAGAAACUGUCACCUGCAAGCCACCUAUGUGCAAAGCACAUCGGGAGAACCGGUCUCGCAUAAGCGUACGCGUAAUGUCGGUCCGGGCCGCUUCGUCCAACAAUAACGCCGAACCAAAGUAUGACAUGCUGAUAAGCAGUAUGACUUAUAUCGCCCACAACUCACUUGUGUUCUACUCGUGCAUAUAACAUCAACAUAUAAAACCUAGGCUCGGAUGCCACUGUUGGGUUUCGUAGUAAUUUCAAAAAAAUUCCUACGCACACGCAAGAUCAUGGUGAUGUAUAGAAAUGAGAGGGGGAAAUUGUGAUCUACGUACCCUUGUAGAUCGACAACGGAAGCGUUAACUUGGUUGAUGUAGUCGUACGUCUCCACGACCCGACCGAUCAAGCACCGAAACUACGGCACCUCCGAGUUCUAGCACACGUUCAGCUCGAUGACGAUCCCCGGACUCCGAUCCAGCAAAGUGUCGAGGAAGAGUUCCAUCAGCAGGACGGCGUGGUGACGAUCUUGAUGUUCUACUAUAGUAGGGUUUCGCCUAAGCGCCGCUACAAUAUUAUCGAGGACUAUGGUGGAAGGGGGCACCGCACAUGGCUAAGAAUAUGAUCACGUGGAUCAACUUGUGUGUCAAGGGGUGCCCCCUGCCCCCGUAUAUAAAGGAUCAAGGGGAGGAGGCCGGCCGGCCUCUAUGGCGCGCCAAGGAGGAGUCCUCCUCCUACUAGGAGUAGGACUCCUACUAGGAGGGGGAAAUAAGUGGGGAGGGAGAGGGAAAGGGGGGCGCCGCCCCCCUAUCCUAGUCCAAUUCGGACCAGGGGGAGGAGGCGCGCGGCCCACCUUUGACUGCCCCUCUCUUACUCCACUAAGGCCCAUAUGGCCCAUUACUUCUCCCGGGGGGGGGGGGGUCCGGUAACCCUCCGGCUCUCCGGUUUUCUCCGAAAUCACCCGGAACACUUCCGGUGUCUGAAUAUAGCCGUCCAAUAUAUCAAUCUUUAUGUCUGACCAUUUCGAGACUCCUCAUCAUGUCCGUGAUCACAUCCGGGACUCCGAACUAACUUCGGUACAUCAAAACUCAUAAACUCAUGAUAUAACUGUCAUCGAAACCUUAAGCGUGCGGACCCUUACGGGUUCGAGAACAAUGUAGACAUGACCGAGACACGUCUCCGGCCAAUAACCAAUAGUGGAACCUGGAUGCUCAUAUUGGCUCCUACAUAUUCUAUGAAGAUCUUUAUCGGUCAGACCGCAUAACAACAUACGUUGUUCCCUUUGUCAUCGGUAUGUUACUUGCCCGAGAUUCGAUCGUCGGUAUCCCAUACCUAGUUCAAUCUCGUUACCGACAAGUCUCUUUACUCGUUCCGUAAUACAUCAUCUCACAACUAACUCAUUAGUUGCAAUGCUUGCAAGGCUUAUGUGAUGUGUAUUACCGAGAGGGCCCUAGAGAUACCUCUCCGACAAUCGGAGUGACAAAUCCUAAUUUCGAAAUAUGCCAACCCAACAUGUACCUUUGGAGACACCUGUAGAGCACCUUUAUAAUCACCCAUUUACGUUGUGAUGUUUGGUAGCACACAAAGUGUUCCUCCGGCAAACGGGAGUUGCAUAAUCUCAUAGUCAUAGGAACAUGUAUAAGUCAUGAAGAAAGCAAUAGCAACAUACUAAACGAUCGGGUGCUAAGCUAAUGGAAUGGGUCAUGUCAAUCAGAUCAUUCAUCUAAUGAUGUGAUCCCGUUAAUCAAAUAACAACUCUUUGUUCAUGGUUAGGAAACAUAACCAUCUUUGAUCAACGAGCUAGUCAAGUAGAGGCAUACUAGUGACACUCUGUUUGUCUAUGUAUUCACACAUGUAUUAUGUUUCCGGUUAAUACAAUUCUAGCAUGAAUAAUAAACAUUUAUCAUGAUAUAAGGAAAUAAAUAAUAACUUUAUUAUUGCCUCUAGGGCAUAUUUCCUUCAAACCCUACCCUUCCAACCAAACAGAAAAAAGGCUAUCCCUAGCCACCUGGUUGGGGAUACCCACAACCACCCUAGCUUGUCCAUGCAACCAAACACAUCCUAAAGCAGUUGAGGGUUCUAGUCUUUGCCUCAACCCCAACCUUUAAAUCUAUUAUUUGACAUCUCACAAUUUAUGACAAUAAGAACACAAUCAACUUCCAAACAAACUAUCAAAUGACAAUUAUUGAUGCAUGGUUUAAUAGUUUACAUCACAAAAUCAUCAUCUUCCUCCUCUUAUCGGCACCAUCACCAAAAAGUUGCACCUCGGCGCCAUCUCCUAGACCACAUGCGGGCUCCAUCAAGCAUCUCCAUGGGCACCGGUGGAGUCGUACACACCGCCAUUGCCACAACUACUCAUCGGAGUGUCACCUCGAAAAGUAGAGGACGCAACACGGAACAUCCUCUUCCUCUCCGCGAUGUCCUCCUUGUAGUCCUUCCACCAUUGCAAUUGGUCUUGAUCCAUGUCCUUCUUGGACAUCAUCAUGUGCUCUUUCUCUUCCACCAUGAGUUCUUUACAUACCUUUGUCUCUGAUCUUGAUCAUCCUCUCCUCCAACUCGGCCUUGCGCCUUGCUUCUUCACGCUUUGCUUCAACUUGUGCAAGCUUGACCUCUUUCUUCUUCUUGGUGAUAACAAGCUUCGUCUCCAAUGUCUUCGUUGUCAAUUCCUCUCUUGCCUUCAUCAUGUGGUCCAUCUUCUCCCUUAGGCUUGACGCCUCUUCUUCCAUCUUCACCCUUAGCUUGCCCUUCUUGGUUCCCUCGGGCUUGCCCAAGUUCCUCUCCUCCUCAUCUUCACUAUCAUCCAUCCUAAGCAUUGCCAACUUCUUGGGUGCGGUCUCUUGAUCCCUCAACUUCCACUUGCCAAAGGUUUGAAGAAUUGUCCAAGCAUGCUUAAAUGGGAAUGUCUUGCCCUUGGAAGCGGCCAUCUUCUUGUACCUCAUGCCGGCAAUUGUCUCCUAUCAACCACACAUAAAUUACAUAAGAACCCACCAAUAGCAUAGUACACACACAUAAUCAAAAUAGUGAAGAAAUAUGUACUCACAUAGUCACUCUCCACGGUUCGACUAGGUGGUGCAUCCCUCACUUGGUCCAUGGCCGCACUCCAACGAGCACAAGCGGGCUUCAUCAACUCCCACCGGCCUUGAAGCGACCGGUAAGUGCGAGAGAUGAACCCACUAUUCUUAGGCUUGAUCCUACAAUAGGUGUCCUCGAUCCUUUGCCAAUACCGUUUACCGGUUUGAUCGGUGCCGGUGGUUGCAUCCAUUCCCACAGCUUCCCAAGCACGAACCAAGAGGAUAUCUUCCGCCUCGGUGUAGUUUGUCGACCGCGCGUGUGGGCGGGAAGCGGCGGUGAAUGCCUCCUCCCCUAUCUCGGCCACCUCCUUGUCGUCAUCACCUUCAUCUCCUCAUCUUCCUCUAAGUUGUCACCAACCCUAAAGGGUUCGAGAGGCAGAGCCCCUGUUGGGUAACGUUGCAGAAAAUAAAAUUUUCCUACUCGUUUCACCAAGAUCAUCUAGGAGUUCAUCUAGCAACGAGUGAAUAGAUGCAUCUACAUACCUUGUAGAUCGCAAGCGGAAGCGUUCAAAGAACGGGGAUGAUGUAGUCGAACACGACGUGAUUCGAAUCACCGGAGAUCCUAGCACCGAACGGACGGCACCUCCGCGUUCAACACACGUACGGAACAGCCACGUCUCCUCCUUCUUGAUCCAGCAAGGGAGGGAGGAGAGGUUGAGGGAGAUGGCACCAGCAGCAGCACGACGGCGUGGUGUUGAUGGAGCUGCAGUACUCCGGCAGAGCUUCGCUAAGCAAUAAGGAGGUGGAGGAGGUGUUGGGGAGGGAGAAGGAGGCAACCAAAGGCCAAGGACUCAAGGUAUGAAGUCCCUCCUCUCCCCCACUAUAUAUAGGGGUGCCAAAGGGGGGUGGCCGGCCCUAGGAGAUCCAAUCUCCUAGGGGGUGCGGCGGCCAAGGGGGGUUUCCCUCCCCCCCAAGGCACCUAGGAGGUGCCUUACCCUCCUAGGACUCUUUCCCCCUUAAACCCUAGGCGCAUGGGCUUAUGUGGGGCUGGUGCCCUUGGCCCAAGCAGGCCAAGGCGCACCCCCUACAGCCAUGUGCCCCCCGGGGAUGGGUGGCCCCACCCGGUGGGCCCCCGGGACCCCUCCGGUGGUCCCGGUACAAUACCGAUAACCCCGAAACUUGUCCCGAUGCCCGAAACAGGACUUCCCAUAUAUAAAUCUUUACCUCCGGACCAUUCCGGAACUCCUCGUGACGUCCGGGAUCUCAUCCGGGACUCCGAACAACAUUCGGGUUACUGCAUAUACAUAUCCCUACAACCCUAGCGUAACUGAACCUUAAGUGUGUAGACCCUACGGGUUCGGGAGACAUGUAGACAUGACCGAGAUCGCUCUCCGGUCAAUAACCAACAGCGGGAUCUGGAUACCCAUGUUGGCUCCCACAUGCUCCACGAUGAUCUCAUCGGAUGAACCACGAUGUCGAGGAUUUAAUCAACCCCGUAUGCAAUUCCCUUUGUCAAUCGAUAUGUUACUUGCCCGAGAUUCGAUCGUCGGUAUCCCAAUACCUCGUUCAAUCUUGUUACCGGCAAGUCACUUUACUCGUACCGUAAUGCAUGAUCCCGUGACCAAACACUUGGUCACUUUGAGCUCAUAAUGAUGAUGCAUUACUGAGUGGGCCCAGUGAUAUCUCUCCGUCAUACGGAGUGACAAAUCCCAGUCUCGAUCCAUAUAAAACAAUAGAUACUUUCGGAGAUACCUGUAGUGCACCUUUAUAGUCACCCAGUUACGUUGUGACGUUUGAUACACCCAAAGCACUCCUACGGUAUCCAGGAGUUAUACGAUCUCAUGGUCGAAGGAAGAGAUACUUUGACAUUGCAAAACUCUAGCAAACGAACUAUACGAUCUUGUGCUAUGUUUAGGAUUGGGUCUUGUCCAUCACAUCAUCAUCCUAAUGAUGUGAUCCCGUUAUCAAUGACAUCCAAUGUCCAUAGCCAGGAAACCAUGACUAUCUAUUGAUCAACGAGCUAGUCAACUAGAGGCUUACUAGGGACAUGUUGGUGUCUGUUAUUCACACAUGUAUUACGAUUUCCGGAUAACACAAUUAUAGCAUGAAUAAAGACAAUUAUCAUGAACAAAGAAAUAUAAUAAUAAUGCUUUUAUUAUUGCCUCUAGGGCAUAUUUCCAACAGUCUCCCACUUGCACUAGAGUCAAUAAUCUAGUUACAUUGUGAUGAAUCGAACACCCAUGGAAUCCUGGUGUUGAUCAUGUUUUGCUCUUGGGAGAGGUUUAGUCAACGGAUCUGCUACAUUCAGGUCCGUAUGUACUUUACAAAUCUCUAUGUCUCCAUCUUGAACAUUUUCACGGAUGGAGUUGAAGCGACGCUUGAUGUGCCUUGUCUUCUUGUGAAACCUGGGCUCCUUGGCAAGUGCAAUAGCUCCAGUGUUGUCACAGAAGAGCUUGAUCGGCCCCGACGCAUUGGGUAUGACUCCUAGGUCGGUGAUGAACUCCUUCACCCAUAUUGCUUCAUGUGCUGCCUCCGAGGCUGCCAUGUACUCCGCUUCACAUGUAGAUCCCGCCACGACGCUCUGCUUGCAACUGCACCAGCUUACUGCCCCACCAUUCAAAAUAUACACGUAUCCGGUUUGUGACUUAGAGUCAUCCAGAUCUGUGUCGAAGCUAGCGUCGACGUAACCUUUUACGACGAGCUCUUCGUCACCUCCAUAAACGAGAAACAUUUCCUUAGUCCUUUUCAGGUACUUCAGGAUAUUCUUGACCGCUGUCCAGUGUUCCUUGCCGGGAUUACUUUGGUACCUUCCUACCAAACUUAUGGCAAGGUUUACAUCAGGUCUGGUACACAGCAUGGCAUACAUAAUAGAACCUAUGGAUGAGGCAUAGGGGAUGACACUCAUCUCUUCUAUCUCUGCUGCCGUGGUCGGACAUUGAGCUGAGCUCAAUUUCACACCUUGCAAAACAGGCAAGAACCCUUUCUUGGACUGAUCCAUUUUGAACUUCUUCAAAAUCUUAUCAAGAUAUGUGCUUUGUGAAAGACCUAUGAGGCGUCUUGAUCUAUCCCUAUAGAUCUUGAUGCCUAAUAUAUAAGCAGCUUCUCCAAGGUCCUUCAUUGAAAAACUCUUAUUCAAGUAGGCCUUAAUGCUGUCCAAAAGUUCUAUAUCAUUUCCCAUCAAAAGUAUGUCAUCUACAUAUAGUAUGAGAAAUGCUAUAGAGCUCCCACUCACUUUCUUGUAAACACAGGCUUCUCCAUAAGUCUGUGUAAACCCAAACGCUUUGAUCAUCUCAUCAAAACGAAUGUUCCAACUCCGAGAUGCUUGCACCAGCCCAUAAAUCGAGCGUUGGAGCUUGCACACCUUGUCAGCAUUUUUAGGAUCGACAAAACCUUUCGGCUGCAUCAUAUACAAUUCUUCCUUAAGGAAACCAUUAAGGAAUGCCGUUUUGACGUCCAUUUGCCAAAUUUCAUAAUCAUAAAAUGCGGCAAUUGCUAACAUGAUUCGGACGGACUUCAGCUUCGCUACCGGUGAGAAAGUCUCAUCGUAGUCAACCCCUUGAACUUGUCGAUAACCCUUAGCGACAAGCCGAGCUUUAUAGAUGGUCACAUUACCAUUCGCGUCUGUCUUCUUCUUAAAGAUCCAUUUAUUUUCUAUGGCUCGCCGUUCUACGGGCAAGUCAGUCAAAGUCCAUACUUCGUUUUCAUACAUGGAUCCUAUCUCGGAUUUCAUGGCUUCUAGCCAUUUGUCGGAAUCCGGACCCGCCAUCGCUUCUUCAUAGUUCGAAGGUUCACCGUUGUCUAACAACAUGAUUUCCAAGACAGGGUUGCCGUACCACUCUGGUGCGGAACGUGUCCUCGUGGACCUUCGAAUUUCAGUAGGAGCUUGAUCUGAAGUAUCUUGAUCAUUAUCAUUAACUUCCUCUCUAGUCGGUGCAGGCACCUCAGGAACAUUUUCUUGAGUUGCGCCAUUUUCUGGUUCAAGAGGUAAUACUUCAUCAAGCUCUACUUUCCUCCCACUUACUUCUUUCGAGAGAAACUCUUUCUCCAGAAAGGACCCAUUCUUGGCAACAAAGAUCUUGCCUUCGGAUCUGAGGUAGAAGAUAUACCCAACAGUUUCUUUAGGGUAUCCUAUGAAGACGCAUUUUUCCGAUUUGGGUUCGAGCUUUUCAGGUUGAAGUUUCCUGACAUAAGCAUCGCAUCCCCAAACUUUUAGAAAUGACAGCUUAGAUUUCUUCCCAAACCAUAAUUCAUACGGUGUCGUCUCAACGGAUUUCGACGGGGCCCUAUUUAAAGUGAAUGCGGCAGUCUCUAAAGCAUAGCCCCAAAAAGAUAGUGGUAAAUCGGCAAGAGACAUCAUAGAUCGCACCAUAUCUAAUAGAGUGCGAUUACGACGUUCGGACACACCAUUACGCUGAGGUGUUCCAGGCGGCGUGAGUUGUGAAACUAUUCCACAUUUUCUUAAGUGUGUACCAAACUCGUGACUCAAGUAUUCUCCUCCACGAUCUGAUCGUAGAAACUUGAUUUUCCUGUCACGUUGAUUCUCAACUUCACUCUGAAAUUCCUUGAACUUUUCAAAGGUCUCAGACUUGUGUUUCAUUAAGUAGACAUACCCAUAUCUACUCAAGUCAUUAGUGAGGGUGAGAACAUAACGAUAGCCACCGCGAGCCUCAACACUCAUUGGACCGCACACAUCAGUAUGUAUGAUUUCCAAUAAGUUGGUUGCUCUCUCCAUUGUUCCUGAGAAUGGAGUCUUGGUCAUUUUACCCAUGAGGCAUGGUUCGCACGUGUCAAAUGAUUCGUAAUCAAGAGACUCUAAAAGUCCAUCAGCAUGGAGCUUCUUCAUGCGUUUGACACCUAUGUGACCGAGGCGGCAGUGCCACAAGUAUGUGGGACUAUCACUAUCAAUCUUACAUCUUUUGGUACUUACACUAUGAAUAUGUGUAGCAUUACGCUCGAGAUUCAUAAAGAAUAAACCAUUCACCAUCGGAGCAUGACCAUAAAACAUAUCUCUCAUAUAAAUAGAAUAACCAUUAUUCUCGGAUUUAAAUGAGUAGCCAUCUCGAAUUAAACGAGGUCCUGAUACAAUGUUCAUGCUCAAACUUGGCACAAAAUAACAAUUAUUGAGGUUCAAAACUAAUCCCGUAGGUAAAUGUAGAGGUAGCGUGCCGACGGCGAUCACAUCGACCUUGGAACCAUUCCCGACGCGCAUCGUCACCUCGUCCUUCGCCAGUCUCCGUUUAUUCCGCAGCUCCUGUUGUGUGUUACAAAUAUGAGCAACGGCACCGGUAUCAAAUACCCAGGAGUUACUACGAUUACUGGUAAGGUACACAUCAAUUACAUGUAUAUCAAAUAUACCUUUGGUUUUGCCGGCCUUCUUGUUCGCUAAGUAUUUGGGGCAAUUCCGCUUCCAGUGACCACUUUCCUUGCAAUAAAAACACUCAGUCUCGGGCUUGGGUCCAUUCUUUGGCUUCUUCCCGGCAGCUUGCUUGCUGGGCGUAGCAACUACCUUGCCGUCUUUCUUGAAGUUCUUUUUACCCUUGCCCUUCUUGAACUUAGUGGUUUUAUUGACCAUCAACACUUGAUGUUCCUUUCUGACUUCUACCUCUGCUGAUUUCAGCAUAGCAAAUACUUCAGGAAUGGUCUUUUCCAUCCCCUGCAUAUUGAAGUUCAUCACAAAGCUCUUGUAGCUCGGUGGAAGCGACUGGAGGAUUCUGUCAAUGACCGCAUCAUCCGGGAGAUUAACUCCCAGCUGAGUCAAGCGGUUAUGCAACCCAGACAUAGUGAGUAUGUGCUCACUGACAGAACUGUUUUCCUCCAUCUUACAGCUGAAGAAUUUGUCGGAGACUUCAUAUCUCUCGACCCGGGCAUGAGCUUGGAAAACCAUUUUCAGCUCUUCGAACAUCUCAUAUGCUCCAUGUCUCUCAAAACGCUUUUGGAGCCCCGGCUCUAGGCUGUAAAGCAUGCCGCACUGAACGAGGGAGUAGUCAUCGGAACGUGCCUGCCAAGCGUUCAUAACGUCUUGUUCCGCAGGGAGAACGGGUGCGUCACCAAGCGGUGCUUGUAGGACAUAAUCUUUCUUGGCAGCUAUGAGGAUGAUCCUCAGGUUCCGGACCCAGUCCGUAUAGUUGCUUCCAUCGUCUUUCAGCUUGGUUUUCUCUAGGAACGCGUUGAAGUUGAGGACUACGUUGGCCAUUUGAUCUACAAGACAUAUUGCAAAGAUUUUAGACUAAGUUCAUGAUAAUUAAGUUCAUCUAAUCAAAUUAUAAUGAACUCCCACUCAGAUUUGACAUCCCUUUGGUCAUCUAAGUGUUACACGAUCCGAGUCGACUAGGCCGUGUCCGAUCAUCACGUGAGACGGACUAGUCAUCGUCGGUGAACAUUCUCAUGUAGAUCGUAUCUUCCAUACGACUCGUGUUCGACCUUUCGGUCUCCGUGUUCCGAGGCCAUGUCUGUACAUGCUAGGCUCGUCAAGUUAACCCUAAGUGUUUUCGCUGUGUAAAACUGUCUUACACCCGUUGUAUGUGAACGUAAGAAUCUAUCACACCCGAUCAUCACGUGGUGCUUCGAAACGACGAACUGUAGCAACGGUGCACAGUUAGGGGAGAACACUUCUUGAAAUUUUGUAAGGGAUCAUCUUAUUUACUACCGUCGUUCUAAGUAAACAAGAUGCAUAAAACAUAAUAAACAUCACAUGCAAUUAUAUAAAGUAGUGACAUGAUAUGGCCAAUAUCAUAUAGCUCCUUUGAUCUUCAUCUUCGGGGCUCCAUGAUCAUCUUGUCACCGGCAUGACACCAUGAUCUCCAUCAUCAUGAUCUCCAUCAUCGUGUCUUCAUGAAGUUGUCACGCCAACGACUACUUCUACUUCUAUGACUAACGCGUUUAGUAAUAAAGUAAAAUAGUUUACAUGGCGUUCUUUAAUGACACGCAGGUCAUACAAAAAAUAAAGACAACUCCUAUGGCUCCUGCCGGUUGUCAUACUCAUCGACAUGCAAGUCGUGAUUCCUAUUACAAUAGCAUGAACAUCUCAUACAUGACAUAUAGAUCAUUCAUCAUUCAUCACAACUUUGGCCAUAUCAUAUCACAAAGCACUUGCUGCAAAAACAAAUUAGACGUCCUCUAAUUGUUGUUUGCAAGUUUUACGUGGCUGAAGUAGGGUUCUAGCAAGAACGUUUUCUUACCUACGUGAAACCACAACGUGAUUUGUCAACUUCUAUUUACCCUUCAUAAGGACCCUUUUCAUCGAAUCCGCUUCAACUAAAGUGGGAGAGACAGACACCCGCCAGCCACCUUAUGCAACUUGUGCAUGUUAGUCGGUGGAACCGGUCUCACGUAAGCGUACGUGUAAGGUUGGUCCGGGCCGCUUCAUCCUACAAUACCGCUGAAGCAAGAUAAGACUAGUAGCGGCAAGAAAGUUGACAAAUCUACGCCCACAACCAAUUGUGUUCUACUCGUGCAAGAAGAACUACGCAUAGACCUAGCUCAUGAUGCCACUGUUGGGUAACGUUGCAGAAAAUAAAAUUUUCCUACUCGUUUCACCAAGAUCAUCUAGGAGUUCAUCUAGCAACGAGUGAAUAGAUGCAUCUACAUACCUUGUAGAUCGCAAGCGGAAGCGUUCAAAGAACGGGGAUGAUGUAGUCGAACACGACGUGAUUCGAAUCACCGGAGAUCCUAGCACCGAACGGACGGCACCUCCGCGUUCAACACACGUAUGGAACAGCCACGUCUCCUCCUUCUUGAUCCAGCAAGGGAGGGAGGAGAGGUUGAGGGAGAUGGCACCAGCAGCAGCACGACGGCGUGGUGUUGAUGGAGCUGCAGUACUCCGGCAGAGCUUCGCUAAGCAAUAAGGAGGUGGAGGAGGUGUUGGGGAGGGAGAAGGAGGCAACCAAAGGCCAAGGACUCAAGGUAUGAAGUCCCUCCUCUCCCCCACUAUAUAUAGGGGUGCCAAGGGGGGGUGUCCGGCCCUAGGAGAUCCAAUCUCCUAGGGGGUGCGGCGGCCAGGGGGGGUUUCCCUCCCCCCCAAGGCACCUAGGAGGUGCCUUACCCUCCUAGGACUCUUUCCCCCUUAAACCCUAGGCGCAUGGGCCUAUGUGGGGCUGGUGCCCUUGGCCCAAGCAGGCCAAGGCGCACCCCCUACAGCCCAUGUGGCCCCCGGGGAUGGGUGGCCCCACCCGGUGGGCCCCCGGGACCCCUCCGGUGGUCCCGGUACAAUACCGAUAACCCCGAAACUUGUCCCGAUGCCCGAAACAGGACUUCCCAUAUAUAAAUCUUUACCUCCGGACCAUUCCGGAACUCCUCGUGACGUCCGGGAUCUCAUCCGGGACUCCGAACAACAUUCGGGUUACUGCAUAUACAUAUCCCUACAACCCUAGCGUAACUGAACCUUAAGUGUGUAGACCCUACGGGUUCGGGAGACAUGUAGACAUGACCGAGAUCGCUCUCCGGUCAAUAACCAACAGCGUGAUCUGGAUACCCAUGUUGGCUCCCACACGCUCCACGAUGAUCUCAUCGGAUGAACCACGAUGUCGAGGAUUUAAUCAACCCCGUAUGCAAUUCCCUUUGUCAAUCGAUAUGUUACUUGCCCGAGAUUCGAUCGUCGGUAUCCCAAUACCUCGUUCAAUCUUGUUACCGGCAAGUCACUUUACUCGUACCGUAAUGCAUGAUCCCGUGACCAAACACUUGGUCACUUUGAGCUCAUUAUGAUGAUGCAUUACUGAGUGGGCCCAGUGAUAUCUCUCCGUCAUACGGAGUGACAAAUCCCAGUCUCGAUCCAUAUAAAACAAUAGAUACUUUCGGAGAUACCUGUAGUGCACCUUUAUAGUCACCCAGUUACGUUGUGACGUUUGAUACACCCAAAGCACUCCUACGGUAUCCAGGAGUUAUACGAUCUCAUGGUCGAAGGAAGAGAUACUUUGACAUUGCAAAACUCUAGCAAACGAACUAUACGAUCUUGUGCUAUGUUUAGGAUUGGGUCUUGUCCAUCACAUCAUCAUCCUAAUGAUGUGAUCCCGUUAUCAAUGACAUCCAAUGUCCAUAGCCAGGAAACCAUGACUAUCUAUUGAUCAACGAGCUAGUCAACUAGAGGCUUACUAGGGACAUGUUGGUGUCUGUUAUUCACACAUGUAUUACGAUUUCCGGAUAACACAAUUAUAGCAUGAAUAAAGACAAUUAUCAUGAACAAAGAAAUAUAAUAAUAAUGCUUUUAUUAUUGCCUCUAGGGCAUAUUUCCAACAGCCCCGAGGUCCACCUCCGUGUUUUGGAGGAGGUCCAUGAACGAGGAUGGGGUUGCCAUUUUCUCGAACACCUCGUGCGCGGCGGGAGGAGGUUCGGCCACGGCGACAAAAGGAGGUUCGGCGAUGGAGGCGGGCGGGGGCACAGGCUUCUUCCGCGGCAUCUUCACGGCCGGGGCAACCUUGGAUGGCGCCUUCGGCCGGCUCUUCUUGGUGGCCGAGGCGGGAGCCGGGGAGGCAGCGGGGGCGGGUGCCGGGGCGGUGACGGUGGCCGGGGCGGGAGCCGGGGAGGUGGGAGGAGGAGGUGCGAGGCCCUCCCACCGCCGCUUGGCCCCGACAUGGGUCGCCGCCACCACGUCGGCCACGGUCGGGUGGGCGGGCACCGGGGCGGGCGCGGNNNNNNNNNNNNNNNNNNNNNNNNNNNNNNNNNNNNNNNNNNNNNNNNNNNNNNNNNNNNNNNNNNNNNNNNNNNNNNNNNNNNNNNNNNNNNNNNNNNNNNNNNNNNNNNNNNNNNNNNNNNNNNNNNNNNNNNNNNNNNNNNNNNNNNNNNNNNNNNNNNNNNNNNNNNNNNNNNNNNNNNNGGGGCCCUCCAUGGCCGGCGCGGCAGGAGGCGACGGGAGGAGGAGGCCGGGAGGAGUAGGGAGUUUCCUCCUGCGCGAGAGAGGAGGAGGAGUGCGGGUUGGGGGGAGAUUUCCCUCUCAACCCCUACUUCUACAGGUUGCAAACUGGUUUGAGGGUUGGACCUCUAAAUUUUUUUUACGGGUUUGAGGGUUUAGAGGUUCUAGUCUACGAUGUUUUUUCGGCGAAAACUGUAAAAAAAAAACGAUUAUUUUUAGAGGUUUGAGGGCUCUACUAGACUUGCUCUUAGGCGCUGUUUGGUGAUCCACUAGCUCCGCCAAAUUUGAGGAUCUGCAGAGCACCUAUUCCCCCACUCCGAGAUUUUUAACUUGAGCUCCGCCAACUCCCGGAGCGAGAGUGUGGAGCGGAGGAGGGCCGAACAGGCCCUUAGAGCAUUACUAGUAGAGCCCUCAAACCCCCAAAUCUUUAAAAAUAACUGCUUUUUUUUUACAGUUUUUGUUGAAAAAAAGCCAUAGACUAGAACCCCUUAACCCUCAAACCCUCAAUUUUUUUAAAGGUCCAACCCUCAAACCCUCUCCCAAUCCUCAAAAGUAAGGGUUGGGGAGCAAAACCUACCCAACCCUCAUUUGGCGGUUAUCCUCGCGCGGGAGGGAAAAAUCCUCCCAACUCCCGCGCCCACGCCCGCGACCGUCGCUGCUAGUCGCCCCCGUCGCCGGCGGCCGCCCCGUCGACCUCCCGCGCGCAACGACAACGUCGUUCAUGGGGAAUAUUCCGUUAUAAGGGUUGGGUUUGAGGGUUCUAAUCUUUGUCCCUGUUUUUCAACUCGUAAAAGUGCACAAAAAAAUAUUUUUGGACCCUUAAAACGUUAGUGAGGGUUUAAGGGUUUGAGGGUUCUACUAGUAAUGCUCUAAAACUGAAUGACCGGCCAGCAGCCCAACAUUCAGCAAGCAAACCUUGCUUCAAAUAAAGGGGGAGAAGAAAGGAAAAACGGAAAGAAAGCGGCAGAAGCAGCAAACAGGACUCAUGCAGUUUUUUUUUCUUUUUUUCUUUUUGAGCAGGGACUCACGCGGGUGCAAGACCUACUGCCCGUAAAACAAAACAUAAUGUCAUGGGCCGAAGAGAUAGCUUGGUACCUUAUGGCCCAACGACCUGCUUUAAUUAACUCAGGUUGUCGCUCUGCGGCGUGAUGAGCUAAUUGUACCACAUCGGUUGUGGAGAAAUAGUUUGAGGAUGACCCGGGUAUAAGAAAGAGAUCCCUGGGAUAAGGUACACCCAUCUUUGUGCUUGGGGCAAUGAGGCAGCUAGAGAGGUUAUACCGAGGCGCGUCAAUUGCUGAUUGAAAACUAUUUCUAAACCCCCUCUUUGACUCUCACGGGUCAUUGAGAAUUUUUGGAAGGGUUCCCUCUUUGAGGGUAAAACCCCACAAAUCAAUAUGUAGAAAAAGAUUUGACAAUAUCAACUCUUUGACCUUUGCCAAAUGUGAUGUUUGGGCUGUAACUUGUGGUACCUUUCAGCCUUUUCUUUCUGAAUGGCAGUUCAAAAAACAAACUUGUAUCAAAGUAAGACUAAUACUUCAUCCGUUCACAAAUUCUCUCUCCGUUUCUAAAUAUAAGACUUUUUAGAGAAUCCAAUACAGACUAAAUGCGAAGCAAAAUGAGUGAAUCGCAAUCUAAAAUACGUCAUUAUACAUUCUGAUGUAGUCCAAAUCUCUAAAAGGCUUAUAUUUAGAAACGAGGGAGUAUAAGAUGUUUCGAAUAUUUUAUUAAUAUGGAUUAUGUACGAACUGAAAUUAGUUAACAAAUACACUAAAGUAUGCCUAUAUACAUAGGAUUUAGAAAAAAGUUAGAAUAUCUUAUGCUUAUUUAUUAACGAACGGAGUAGUAGUCUAGCUAGUACUCCUCGGUGCUUCAAAGAAGCCGUAUAUAUUUUAUCCAAAGUCAAACAGUGCAAUGUUUGACCAAUUUUGUUCAAAAUACCAUCAAGACUACAAUAUCAUAUUAGUAUUGUUGAGUAUUGUCGUGGGAAUAAAUCUGACAAUAUGUAGAGGGAUAGUGACGGAUUGUUCCAAAGAAGAGUGCUCCCUCCGUUCCAAAAUAUUUGAAGUUUUAGGUUUCUUCUAAGCCAAACUUCUUUAUGUUUGACCAAGUCUAUAGAAAAUAUACCACCAUCUAAGACACUAAGUAGUUUUAUUAAAUUCAUCUAAUGUAUAUUUGCAUACUAUAUAUGUAGUUGAUGUUGUGGAUCUUAGUAUUUUUUUUUCUAUAAACUCGGCCAAACUUAAGGGAGUUUGACUUAGAACAAACCUAGAACUUCAAAUAUUUUGAAAUGGAGGUGGUAUUCUCCAAAAAAGAAAACUACAAACUUGUACACGUGUCCACCAUUUUCAUGAAGUAUUUUAUUUCCCAAUUCAAUUUUAUGCAGCUAGGGCUACAAUGUACAGACUAAUAUAAGUCUCAAUAAAAACAAGCUGAACCACAUGCUUAAUCCCCUACAUGGACAAUUCUACAGCAAGAAGCCGUGGCCAACCAUGAUGUAAAAUCUGAAAAUGAGGAAGAAAAGAAAAAAACAGAAGUAUCAACCAUCUAUAUGCACAAAAUAAGUUAGUAAUUGCAAAAGAAUAAAAAAAAAUCUGAUUUUUGUGGAAUCAAAUAUGAUUAAGUAUUAUACUCGUAUAAAAUGUUUCACCAAGAAAUAACUCCCGUUGAACUCAGGGCAAAAAAAUCGAGGAUAAUACAGUGUGAAUAGUAUUUGUAUAUAGCAUUUGAUUUUUUUUCACCCAAAUUACAAUGAAAGUCGGUCCUUGGCAAAUCUUUUUGUACGAGUUCAAUACUUGAUCAUAUUUGAUUUAAAAAAAGUUUCAGAUUUUUUGACAUUUUUUUCAGUCACUAAAUUAUUUUAUGCAUAUAGGGUUCGCUGACACCCGGGUGCACCAGGGUAUCUUCCCAGGUCUCACGUUAUCACGUAUAGGUACAAGACCUUUUUUUUUACUCGCAAAAAACAAAGGAACAAGACCUUUUUUUCUCAAAAACAAGAGUGAAUGGAAGAGUUUUUUUUUUCUUUUUGAGAAAAAAAAGGGUGAACGCAAGAGCUACUUCAAAAGACAGGACGUACCAUGGUCUGGAAGACGCCCCUACUCCCCCGUCCUUGGACGCAGAUCUGCUGGUAUGUAAUGGCCCAAUGGGCCUUCCUGUGUCGUUGAUUGGUUAUUUUUCGAAAGAAAGAAGUAUACAAAUCACUCUCAAAUCCAUUCUUUAGGAUACAUAACCUCCUAAACUCAAAACCGAGACAAAUAACACCCUGAAAUUACUAAAAUCGGGUUAAUAACCCCCUUGAGUGGUUUCUGUCCAAUCUAGAGCGGUUUUGUCCCCAUGAUGCAGAUUACGCGCUGACUGGACAAAUUACGCUGAGAAGGUCCCAUUAGUCAGUUGUCUCUCUCAUUUCUUCCUUUUUAUCACCUCGUCUCCUCCCUUUCUUUCUUCGUCAGAGCAGCAUCGCCUCCAGAAACGCCUCUCCCCUUUCGUUCGCUAGGACUUGGCAAUCGCAGGCGCCGUCCGCCAUCCGCCGUCGCCUGCCGCUUGCUCGUCCCCGAAGGAACGAAGCCAUGUGUCCAGGUGCGUGUGCCUCCAUCUCCGCUGUCGCUGUGCUAUACUUCUGGUGUCGUUCGUCGGCGGAAUCGCGAGCUCAUACAAGUGGCAGCGCCCACCGACGAUGGCUCCAUACGUACGGCCGGCCACGCGUUUCCUCAAAUUUACUAGUCUCCCGCCUGGCGCACGACGCAUUGCCAUGGCCGAGACUGAGCCGUCCGUCGUGUAGCAGUGAAACUGUUGCGGCGCCGCGCCCUGCAUGCGCACUCUGCGGUUGUGGUCGGGCGUUCUCAGCUUGCAACAGCGCUACGUCGCCCGGUCUUUGCUGGAAGGAGGGACCAAAUUAAUAAUCAACGUUGUUGUUCUCCUACAGGAGCCCGUUGCUUUUUAUAUCCGGACGGUGAAGUUCCGAAGGAUGCUCUGGUGAUUUGCGGGAUGUUGUGUAUCGAUUGAAGGAACGGUCAAGGAAUGAAAAUGGUCUGCUAAAUGCCAGCUUGGCGAAGAACAUGAUGCUAGAUGCGUAUGUGUGUGAUUUAGAAGUCAGCAUCGUGGAGAAGUUGAUGUCCUGAAGAAGAGGAUUCAGAAACUGCAGUUGUCCUUUGUGCUUGCUCUGUUCUGCUUUGUCAUUUCACACUUUUGGAAAUGAUUGUCAUGAAGAAAAAGAAGCAUCCUGGUGAAAUUAGUCCAAUAGGGAGUCAUUUAUGUAUGUUGUUUUUCUUUGUAAGCUGUUAAGCAAAAUUCAGAAUGUAUGAUGUUAAAAAGGUUUAGAAUUUGUCUUGUAUCUUGUUAUGCAAAAUUCAGAAUUUGGUACAAUGCUUCUUGGAAGUGUUAUGAAAAUAUUUGGAAUUUGGUACAAUGCAAAAUCGCAAUGCUAUGGCUGAUCUUCUUAUGUAUAUUGUAUACUGUAUGCUGAUCUGAAAAGAUUCGGAAUAUAUGUCUGAUCUUCUUAUA
rnacentral:lncRNA from 1 species